UACGUAGGGCGCGAGCGUUGUCCGGAAUUACUGGGCGUAAAGGGCUUGUAGGUGGUUUGUCACGUUGUUCGUGAAAACCGGAGGCUUAACCUUCGGCGUGCGGGCGAUACGGGCAGACUGGAGUACUGCAGGGGAGACUGGAAUUCCUGGUGUAGCGGUGGAAUGCGCAGAUAUCAGGAGGAACACCGGUGGCGAAGGCGGGUCUCUGGGCAGUAACUGACGCUGAGGAGCGAAAGCGUGGGGAGCGAACAGG
rnacentral:rRNA from 1 species